rnacentral:rRNA from 1 species
UUGGAGUAGCCCUUAAGCCUUACACGCGUUAGACGAACGGUCUGGAAAGGCCGACGAUACAGGGUGAUAGUCCCGUAGUUGACGACGUGUGUUCAGUGAAAUCGAGUAGGGCGGGACACGUGAUAUCCUGUCUGAAUAUGGGGGGACCAUCCUCCAAGGCUAAAUACUACUGACUGACCGAUAGUGAACCAGUACCGUGAGGGAAAGGCGAAAAGAACCCCUGUGAGGGGAGUGAAAUAGAACCUGAAACCGUGUACGUACAAGCAGUAGGAGCAGGCUUGUCCUGUGACUGCGUACCUUUUGUAUAAUGGGUCAGCGACUUAUAUUCAGUGGCAAGGUUAACCAUCUAGGGGAGCCGUAGGGAAACCGAGUCUUAACUG